rnacentral:rRNA from 1 species
GCUAAUACCCAAUAGCUGUUUGAUGCUGGAAUGCGCUAACAGUUAAAAUUCCGAUGCCUAAGAAUAGGACUGCGGCGUAUCAGGCGGUUGUGAGUGUAAAGUACUCACAAACCUAUAACGCGUAGGGGCCAUGAGAGUGGGAGCCUCGAGAUGCCUUCUGAGACAUGAAGGCAGGUCCUACGGGACGCAGCAGGCGCGAAAACUUUCCAAUUCAUUAACGUGUGAGAAGGGAAGUCUGAGUGCUCAUGUUUUACAUGAGCUUUUCUUUAGUCCAAAAAACUAGGGGAAUAAGUGGUGGGUAAGACAGGUGCCAGCCGCCGCGGUAAUACCUGCGCCACAAAUGGUGAUCACUAUUAUUGGGUCUAGAGCGUCCGUAGCCGGUUUAGCAAGUUCCUGGUGAAACCUGGCAGCAAACUGUCAGGCGUGCUGGGAAUACUAUUAAACUUGAGAUUGGGAGAGGUCAGAGGUAGUCCAUGUGUAGGGGUUAAAUCCUUUAAUCCAUGGAGGACCACCGGUGGCGAAGGCGUCUGACUGGAACAAGUCUGACGGUGAGGGACGAAGGCGUGGGGAGCAAAACGGAUUAGAUACCCGUGUAGUCCACGCUGUAAACGAUGUCCGUUUGAGGAGACAAAUCUUACGUGGAUUUGUUGUGUCGGAGCGUAGGUGUUAAGCGGCCCACCUCGGACUACGGCCGCAAGGCUGAAACUUAAGGGAAUUUCCGGGGAACACACAAGCGGUGGAGGCGUGCGGUUCAAUUGGAUUCAACGCCGG